AUGAAGCAUACUUGAGCUAUUUCAUCCUUGGCAUCGAUCUCAACUUCAGACUCCUCUUCAUCACUCCAAGUGAUAAGUGCCUUGUUUCUUUUAUUAUCUUUGAAGCUUGUUUUUCCUUUGUUCUUUAGUUGAAAGCAGUCCUUCUUGAAGUGCACUGGACGUCCACAUUUAAAACAUGUCUCCUCGGUUUGCUUUCCUUUGGCUUUAUUCGAAUUGAAGGUAUUUUUCCUUUUAUUCUUCCUUUGUAGUAAUCCUUUGAGCCUCCUUGACAUCAUGGCUAUCUCUUCAUCCGAAUCAUCAUCAAACUCUUCUUUAUUUCCUGCAUUAAGAACUAAAACCUUUCUUCGAGGAAUUUCCUCCCCAUCAUUAUAUCUCUUUAACUAAUGUUCAUAUUCCUCAAGUUCACCAAAAAGAG
rnacentral:lncRNA from 1 species